UACGUAGGGGGCAAGCGUUGUCCGGAAUCAUUGGGCGUAAAGAGCGUGUAGGCGGCCCGGUCAGUCCGCCGUGAAAGUCCAGGGCUCAACCCUGGAAUGCCGGUGGAUACUGCCGGGCUGGAGUCCGGAAGAGGCGAGUGGAAUUCCUGGUGUAGCGGUGAAAUGCGCAGAUAUCAGGAGGAACACCGAUGGCGAAGGCAGCUCGCUGGGACGGUACUGACGCUGAGGCGCGAAAGCGUGGGAGCAAACAGG
rnacentral:rRNA from 1 species